CUCAGCCUUUUGACGCGUCAUGUAAUCUUCGUUCUAAUGGCGCAACUCCUCCCACUCAUUCAUAAUCCGACCUCCGCGUUUGCACUCGCUGCCUACAAGAGCGCCCAAAUUUGAACAUCACUGAUGUUCAUCGGAUUUACAGAGUGACGACAACCCCGUCAGCAUGUUAGAUAAAGGAUUUAAGUUAUAUGCUGCAUCAUAUAUACACAACUACGAAGUGUCCAAAAAACACAGGUUGACAGGGGAAGUCGGUGUGAGAGCCCUGUGCUACAGGUCAAUGAGGAAGAGUGAGGCACCACACAGACUAAGUGUAGGCAGGAAGCUGUGUAAAGUUGUUAAUCCCUGUUCAGUGGGGUUCAGUUCAUUUAAGCAUUAGUUAAGUUCAUUCCUGAAGGCCCAUCAACUUGAAUGUUUUCCUUGUCCCCCUGCUUUAUCACACCUAAUUUGACUAGUCAGAUGUGUUUGGGUGAUCAGAAACAAAUUUACACCAAGUUAAUACUGCAAAUAUACACAAUCUAAGUUAUUACAGUUAUCAAGGAUGGUUAAAUUGUUUUAAUAGGGAGAGAAGGAAACACUAAGCAUUCAGGAGGGUAAGCCUGUAGGGGUCAGUAACCAUAACACUGAACUAUGUUCCUGUUCGGCUCUUCCAUGAAGAUGAUGUUACAUUUUUAAUUUUAGUUCUUUCUUCUUAGAUUAAGCUUCUGGAUUCAUCGCCGGUGGUACUGACACAUAGCCAGUGCUCCUGUGUGGCAGGUGCUGUUAUGUGCAAUCACACAGUGGCACUGCUCUUCCAAACAGCACACUACUCACAACUCAGAGUGCCGGUUGUCCCCUGUGCAUAGCUGCACCGAAUCUGAACAGCAAUGGCACAAGCCACGGACAGUGGUAAUUUAAAUAAGGUUAAAGUUUUUGAAUUAGACCAUGUUUACAUAUGAACAGCAACACCAUCCAUAGUAAAUGUGUCUUCUGUUAGGUGUGAAGCCAGGACCUAUCAACUCUAUGAUCUUCACUAAGCCGGUACCAAAUAGGAUGGCCCAGACUGGAGUACGGAGUGGAUUCUACAGAGGCAUUGUGGGUCCAUUACCAGAUCCCUGACCUGACAAGCCCCUUGUGGAAAGUGCCUUUGGGCUGGUGCAGGAGGGCAGUGUUCUGUCAUGUCAGCAGCCGGUUUUGACAACCCGGUACAUCACACUACACCGUGAUGCACCACCAACACCGCACUUGCCUCUGGAGUAUGGGUAUGACAUCAAGGAAACCCUGCUCGCUCAGACAGCCUGUGAUAUUUUCUCAAACCGCUGCGCUGAACAAGUUUCCAAAGAACAUGCUGUGUGACACAAUAAAUAUCCUUUAACCUGUUAACCUGUGGCUUCUGGAAGAAACUCGGGUGAGUCAGUCACUGCAAACACAUUUGUAUCAUCAAGUGUUUGUCAAAUGAAAAUGAUAUGUUUUCUACACUUAGGAUAAUUUUCUAUGUUGCAGUGCAGUAAAGUGCACGUUUCUUCUGUGUUCAAUCAUACAUGUUCUAAUUGUUAUAAACAGAAAAAAUCUUUUCUUACUUAACUGCUUGAUUCUUAACUUGUUUAACUGAAACAUGAUGAAAUGUCAUAGUAUUAUUUUUUUUUUAAAUGUCCUUGGCAGUGCAUGUGUCUGCAUUGUAACUUACUAAUAAAAAGUCCUGUGUGUA